rnacentral:rRNA from 1 species
GCAAGUCGAACGAUCGUUUUUGGUUUACUAAAAACGGAGUGGCGCACGGGUGCGUAACACGUAUGCAACCUACCUUUAUCUGGGGAAUAGCCUUUCGAAAGGAAGAUUAAUACCGCAUAACAUUAUUGAAUGGCAUCAUUUAAUAAUCAAAGUUCAGGCGGAUAAAGAUGGGCAUGCGUAACAUUAGCUAGUUGGUAAGGUAAUGGCUUACCAAGGCUACGAUGUUUAGGGGGUCUGAGAGGAUGAUC